UGUCCUUCUGGGUCACCAGAGGUUCCAUCUGUCUCUGUCUAACACACUGUCUCUAAUGUAAUGUCCUUCUGGGUCACCAGAGGUUCCAUCUGUCUCUGUCUAACACACUGUCUCUAAUGUAAUGUCCUUCUGGGUCACCAGAGGUUCCAUCUGUCUCUGUCUAACACACUGUCUCUAAUGUAAUGUCCUUCUGGGUCACCAGAGGUUCCAUCUGUCUCUGUCUAACACACUGUCUCUAAUGUAAUGUCCUUCUGGGUCACCAGAGG